rnacentral:piRNA from 1 species
UCCACUGGAGUACUUUGUGGGCUCAGUCA